UGCCCUCGAGAUUGCCCCACUUUCAACACUCAUCAAUCAAAGAAGUGCACGUUUAGUUUAUACAACAAUAAAUACAAAAUCAUUAGAGAGAUAAGAAAAACUUAAACCUGAACAAAUGUAGACUUGUAAAAAGGCAGUCAAUACUACCAUUCGCUUGUAGUAUUCAUCCACCUUGCGAGCAAAAAUCGAGGACUGGAGAGCAACGUCAGGAG